CUCUGGAGCAGUUUGAGGUCUAGUGGGGAAUGGGAUGAGGGGACGAGGCUAAAACCGGCUAUAGCAGACUGGGUGUAGAAGGGAAGGAUGGAUGUGAGAAGUCGCAGAGUCACACUUCCUGGCAUGUACAGGGAGUCAGGGUAUUCAAUGUCAUGACACGCCUGCCUCCCAGCAGAAAUGUGAGGUACAUCCUGGUCACCUGAUAAAUACUUGCUGACUGUGCAAGUGCACAAGUCUGCCUGGGAAACAUGGAAAAGUUUGAGCUCACAGGUGCAGAUCAGUAGGAGGAAAGGCGAGGGACUGGCGAGGAACGUCAGGCAGAGAGAAGAGCAACACCAGCGAUGGAGAUGCAGUCCCAGGACACAAAAGACAAGUAGACCUACCUUUAUAAGAGGAGGUAAAGAUGGAGAAGACGGCUGAUAAAAGACCAUGAAUAAGAAUAUAGCUAAUACGAUGAGCCCG
rnacentral:lncRNA from 10 species